GGGACGUUUGGUGGAGCGGAAUAGCUCUCUGUCUCAGCAAUCUAAGAGAAGCUCAGAGAUUUUUGAGGUUGCUGAUGGGUUAACUAUUGUUGGGUGCCUUAGGCAUUGAUGCUACAGAUGGAAGUCAUCUACUGUAGAAGCCCGGACAAAAACUUUCUAUUGGAGAAAUCCGGUUGGAGUCCGAUUGCUAGAGAAGUCUGUCUGAAAUUUAUCUGAUGUAGAAGCUUGUCUGAAGACUGUCCGCUGGAGAGGUCCGGAUGCAUGAGAAAUCUGAUAGAAGGUCGACCGAUAGCAGAAUUUGAAAGGUACUAUAGAAGGUUGAUCGAUAGAAGAGUCUGAAAGGCAUUGUGGAAGUUCAUCCACUGGAGGAGUCUGGAGGACACUGUGGAAGGUCGACCGCUGGAGGGGUCC
rnacentral:lncRNA from 1 species